GACGAGGGGUCCUAGCGUUGUUCGGAAUCACUGGGCGUAAAGCGUUUGUAGGCGGCUCUGUAAGUCGGGUGUGAAAUCCCACGGCUCAACCGUGGAAGUGCAUUCGAAACUGCAGGGCUUGAAUAUGGAAGAGGAGAGUGGAAUUCCAGGUGUAGUGGUGAAAUACGUAGAUAUCUGGAGGAAUACCGGUGGCGAAGGCGGCUCUCUGGUCCAAUAUUGACGCUGAGAAACGAAAGUGCGGGGAUCAAACAGG
rnacentral:rRNA from 1 species